UGUAUGAUAUUUCUCUUAAUUCUAAUAAUUUUCUCCAAGAUAUAUUUAAAAAAACUAAACAACAUUGAUGUUGAAAAACAUAUUGUUUAUGAGUUACAUGUAUUAGCGCAGUAGAAAGAGCGGACAGACGGACACGGUGGACGCUAGUGAUCAAUGAAGGCGAAACUAUGGUACUGAAUUAAUAACAAGAUCAUCACGACUUUAAACCUUUUGGAAGAUGAAGACGAAACUGAAUAUUUUGCAUUCCAUUAUCACGAGUCAUCCAAUAUGAUCAAUGAUCAUGAAAUUGAAAACACAAUUUUCUCAAUUGAAUUAAUGGU
rnacentral:lncRNA from 1 species